UAAACAACCUGCCUUCAGGAUGGGGACAACAGACGGAAACGACUGCUAAUACCGAAUACGCUUGGAAGACCGCAUGAUCUUCCAAGGAAAGGGUGGCCUCUACCUGUAAGCUAUCGCCUGAAGAGGGGUUUGCGUCUGAUUAGGCAGUUGGUGAGGUAACGGCCCACCAAACCUACGAUCAGUAGCCGGUCUGAGAGGAUGAACGGCCACACUGGAACUGAGACACGGUCCAG
rnacentral:rRNA from 1 species